rnacentral:lncRNA from 1 species
GCCAAGUAAGAAGUGUAGAACAAUUAGCUCAUAAGGACCGCCAUUGUAUAACCAUUCAUCAACAGAUGCAGCUUCCCAAAUUGGGUAAAAAUGCAAUCCGAUCGCCGCAGAAGUAGGAAUAAUAGCACCAGAGAUAAUAUUGUUUCCAUAAAGUAAAGAACCAGAAACAGGCUCACGAAUACCAUCAAUAUCUACUGGAGGAGCAGCGAUGAAGGCGAUAAUAUAUACGGAAGUUGUGGUCAAUAAGGUAGGGAUCAUCAAAACACCAAACCAUCCAAUGUAAAGACGGUUUUCGGUGCUAGUUAUCUAGUUGCAGAAGCGACCCCACAGGCUUGUACUUUCGCGUCUCUCUAAAAUUGCAGUCAUGGUAAGGUCUUGGUUUAUUCAAAUUGCAAGGACUGGGCUGAGAACAGGGCCUUCAUGACUCUCAUGCUUUAGCAUACCGGUGUUCCAAUUCCCCUAGUUCAAUCAGCACCGCCUCCACCUCUUCAGGCUAUUGUUGUGCCAGCCAUUCAGGCAGGACCUCCUCUUCCUACAGUUGGUCCUUCUUCCUCUCCGCUCCGACCAAUCACCCUGGUUUUCUCGUCGUCGGUCAUCAGCUUCGUCAGCACUCAGCCGCCAGUGCCCCCAGCUCCUGCUGUUACCACUACUGUUGUGGCGGUAUCUGUGACCUCUUCAGCUCCGGCAGCUCCUGCAGCAUAGCCUCCGUCCGAGUCAGUACCAGCUCCAGCUUCUAUGGCAGAUCCUGGAUCUGAGACUGACUCUGACCCGCAGCUGGCAUUCGCUCUUCUGCCACGACCACGACCGGAUGCGCCCCCGCCACCUCCUUCCUCUUCUGGUGUGUAGGUUUGAGUUCCCUUUUGGUGUUUGACGCCAAAGGGGGAGAGAUAUGUGAGUUGUGAGAGCUAGGGGAGUUAGGGAGUUAGUAGAGAGUCAUUUUGAUUUAAUAUAUGUGCUCGUUACUCUCUGUACUAGCUCCACUUUUGUAUGAUGAUUUUGGCUCACAAACUCUAUUAUAUACUCUCAAUGCUUAGGUUGACUACGUGUGCAUUAUGUUUUCACAUUAUAUGUUAUCACCAGUCUUCUAGUUCUUGUUCAUCGAUUUGAUUUCACUUUUAUAUGAACAAAACUUACGAUGUGUAUGCGCUCAUUCCUAUUACUAUGUUACACACUCUUUCUGUCAAAGACUAUUGAGUACAACUAACCAUCUUUUCUAUUGACAGAAAUUUCAAAAACAAACUACUCUCACAAACCUUGUAGGGUUAUCAUCAAUCACCAAAAAGAGGGAGAUUGAAAGCAUCUAGGCCCCUCACUACAGGAAACGCAUAAAUUUUCAUGGGCCAAAAACCCACGAAAAUAAGGGUAAACCGACGAAAAAAGUCUAUUUUUGUCGGCAUGCCGACGAAAAUAGCCGCCGAAAAUAAAUUCGACGAAAAUGCACAACUAGGCUUAAGCCAGCUUCGAGCUUCGGAAACCCCAUGCUUCUAGACAUCUCCCGGCAGACGGACAAUUCUUUAUUGUCUGGGAGGCAGUAUAGGAAAUCCUCUUCGUCCGUCCCAUUGAAUACUAGUGCCCCCUUCGGAUAUUUUAAUUCUUUGGCAUAGUGGUUAGCUUCAAAAACUUCUUCUUCCGAUAACUUUUUCCCUGAAGCAUGACGCACAAUAUAAUCGUAUAUUUUGGAAGAUGCUUCGGGGACAGCAGUAUCAAUUUCUUCGACCAAAAUAGGCUCUAACAUUUUUAUUUCUUUAGUCGCCUUUUCAAUUCUUGCUUCUUCUGCUUCCAAAGGUAUUACCUUGGUUGGUUCUGAAGGCUCAGUUUCAACUACAGUCUGUUGCUUUGGAGCCUUAGCAACGGAUACUUCCACAGGCGCCUCUGAAGUUUCAGCAGUCUUCUUUGGAGUUGUGCUUGGAAGUUUAAUUGUCUCCAAAACAUCCAACACAUUGACCAUUCUUUUUUCUUUUUGGGGUCACUGUUGGCCCCUUUUUUCUUGCUACUUCAAUUUCUACUGAAGGACUUAAAAUUUCUGAUAUUUUUGCUCCCUCAGUUGAUGCUUUUGCUUCUUCCAUCUUUUCUGUCGAUGGUGCUUCACCAUCUCUUUGGUUUCUGGUAACAGAAUCUUUGGUUCAUCCAAUUCCUUUGUUGUUGGCGCUUCGGCCAUUCCUGCGACUUCUGGCAGCAGGGUUGGCUCUUCAGCCUCGGUGGCCGGAGAAGUCUCUCCGGUGAAUUCAGGCACCGUGGCUGGUUCAAUAUAGCAUGGCCGAUGUGUGAGAACUUUUAUCCUCUUUCUCUUCGGUGCUGGCUCACUAGGAGCAGCUGCAGCUUUUUCUUUCGCAGAAGUUGUGCCUUUUCUUUUUUGCCCUCGUAUUGGAUAGCGAUAGUCGGGGUAGACGAACCCGAUUGCAUCAAAUACCCGGUUGAGUCUUUUCCUUUUUCGGCCUCCGAAGGCCGCUUACAAAGCAGUAUCUUCGGCCUUCGAGUAUGCCCCAAGCAAUUCAUCACUUACAGUCUCAAUGCUCUUUAACCAAUCAUCAUCUGGUUCAACGAAUUUGUCUCCAUACUUGAAUGUGUACCUUAGCCGGACUAGCCAACCUUCGUCAGUUUCUUUAAUAGUUUCUUUCGGCAUUUCCCAAUUAUCCGCAAGAGGCCACACUCUGAAGGCAAUAUGUUCUUGUGUUAAAUCCCUCGUCCCAAUAAAAGAGCAAACAACUCCGAAGGCUCUCUGGCAUUCUUCGGCUGCUUCAUUCAUUUCCACCUUCGGCCUUCGCAGGCUGAAGCGUUGCCAGAUGGGAUGCAUAAUGAUCUUCUUUACAUCUUCUCGAGAUUUCAAGUCAUUUUUCACGUAAAACCAUUCCGUCAUCCAGUCGCCAGGCCACCUCUUGCGAAAGGUCGGCACUGGGCAGCUUGACCCAGAACGAGAGCCGAAGCUAUAACAGCCAAAGUUGUUGUGAUAUUGUUCCUUACCCCAGGGUUUUGUCUCGUAUAACAAUUCGUGUAUAUUGUAGAAGCUCUUUGCAUCAGGUUCCAAGCCUUGGCUCCUCACAGCCCACACGAAAAUAUUCAUCCUUAUGAUCGCUUCGGGGAUAAGUUGGUGAAGGUGGAUUUCAAAUAUCUUCAGCACCUCCACAACAAAACGGCUCAGGGGAAAUCGUAGUCCAGCUUUCAAGAAGCUUCGAAAUACUACAACUUCAUUUUCCUCAGGAGUUGGGCAAGUCUUCUCUCCCUCGUCGGCCCUUACAAUAGACAAAUCCCGGAAAUAUCUUCCCCUCAUGUUGGCAAGAUGACUUUCUUUAAUACUUGAUUUGCCGAAAACCGCAUGGCUUCGUCGCCAAGGUCGAUCUUCGGAGUCUUCGCCACCACUAUCCGCAUCAUAGCUGUCGCUAUCACCAGUAUCUUCAGAUAAACCUUCCAAAAUUUCUUUAGUGAUCUUCUCUGUAUUAGUCUUCGACAUAGAUUGAAGAAAACCCAGAUGCAUCUCUUCAGAAAGACUCAGCUUCAUUUCGGCAACAACCUUCUUCUCCUCAGACAUCUCUUCGGAAUUCUUGCCUCUCGCUUCCGAAGCUUAAUACUAGGGAGGCAACAAAAUAUUUGUGGCCAGAAAAUUAUUUGAGCAGGCAAAACAGAUGGCAAGGGAGCGUGCCGAAUAAAUUGUGGCGAGCCCGUAUUUACAAACCCAUUAUGUCGGAGACUGGAGGGCCCCAUUUGCCAAUGACUGUUGCUAUUCUAGCAAAAGGAAGGUGUUUUUUCGGACCUUCGGCUUAUAGCCUUCGUCCAUUUCGCAAUCUGAAUUCAUCAUUCUGACAAAUUAAUAUUGCGAGGGGCUACUGUUGGGGGCCUUCGGCUUCCGAAGGUCCUCAAAAACAUGUUUUAACAAUGUUUCUGGAGUAAAGUAUGUUAACAGGUACCUUCGGAUUCGGAUCAGAGCCACGGUACGAAGAAGCACAAAGGUUGGCGCAGAGCCGAAGCUGUGUGUAGAAGAGCUUCGGAGUAGCGGUGGAAAAGGAAACCGACUUAAAGAUGAAAAACCAGAUUAGACCUCGAAGAGUUAUCAUAGAGUUAUUGAUAAAUGUAAAGGGCAUUAUUGUAAUUUUCCAUGGGCUGCGACCCGUGCCUAUAAAUAGGUGAACAGUAUCCCCGUACUGUUCACGCUGAUUCGACAUUGGCUUUGGCAUCACACUUGUGCUUCUACCUUCUUUACGAGCUGAAGGUACACUUAUAAUUUAAUAUUAUCUUUAUCUUUCCAUCAUAAUAAAAUGGAAAUGAUUCGACAACAUUAAACAACUGUUUAUGUUAUCUUCAUGUUUCAUAUGAUCCUUUCUUCAUUAUUAUAUUUUAUGCUGAUGAAGGUAUGUCCUUCAUAACCUUCGCCCGAAAAUCAUUAUAUCCUUAAGGAAAUAAUGCUUAGAAGGACGAAGGAUAUUAAUAUUUAACAUUUUGUGUUGCCUUGUUCUUGAUCCAUAGCAUUUGAGAACAAGUCACCAACAAAUACAGAAUUCACAAACCACAUCCACAAUCAAUACCAUAAUUGUUUCAAACCACAAUCACAUCCAUAAUAAAGUCCAUACAUAGUCCAUAGACAAACUCACUCAUGGCAAGUCUCACUCCUGCGGGCUGUGGGAGUUUUGGCCACUCCCUCCUCCGCCACCAGGAAGGUGGCCACUCCCUCCGGAACCAUGGACGAGGUAGUCUUGGACGUUGACAGCACCCUCCGAUCCCUGAGCAUGUGACACUGAACCCUGCAAUUCAUCAAUCAUUCAAAUAAGGUUGUGUUUUGCUAUCCAUAUACCUAUACAUUGCUAUGUUUGGUCACUAUUUGCAUAAAACUAAACAUGGAACGUCACCUGUGAUCCAUUGUGCUGAGGAGGCUGUGCAUGCAUCCAUGGGUAAUGUUGUGCUGGCCACCCCUGGGGUGGUGGCACCCACCCCGGCGGUGGCGGUGCCAUCCACGCUUGAAGUGGCUGAGAGCCCGGCAGUGGCUGGGAGACCGGUGGCACCCAUCCCGGGGUUGGCUGCGAUCCCUGGGGUGGUGGAGCCGUCCAAGUGCCUGGAGGUGCCUGCGUCCACCCAACACCGGUCCACAGUGGCUGCGACGCUGGAGCUAGCUGAGAUCCCUGGAGUGGUGGCGUAAAUGGCUGCAACUCUGGAGCUUGUCCUGGCCACUGUCCCCAUCCUUGUGCCUGCGAGCCAUUUUUUAUAAUAAAAAAGAGUUGCUAUGGAAUUGAAGUGUUCAGAUAGUGUUACCUGGGGAGGGCAAAAAGCGGGCAAGUUCAUAUCAGGGCCGAGUCGAGAAGUCAUUUCCUGCAAAUGGAUGAAACGUUAGAAUCGCAACAUUAUACUUUGAAUUCAAUAACACGUGAUGAGAUAGAUGAAUUACCUGAAAAUAAGAAGCCAUAUACUGCGUCAGCUGUCCGACCUGCUCCUGCGCUGCUCGAGCUUGCUGCUGUGCUGCUCGAGCCUGCUCCUGUGCUGCUCGAGUCUCCUCCUCCACCUAAGCCUCUCGAGCAGACCUAGAGGAGCGAGAACUCCCUUGACCUAUUGUCCUGUUAUACUCCACAACGCCGGUGCCAAAGGCAAACCUGCAUGAUACACAUAGUUGAGCCAUUAAGUGGACAUAUUCUUGUUAAUGAAAUUGUCGAAUCAAACACAAACACCUCACCUGCCAUGCUUUCUACCCCCACCACUGUGGUACAACGCCGAGGCAUCUAAGUCCGAAUGCAUCCAGUCGAAGUCAGGCCCAUGGCGUUGAAUCAUUUCCUCCCCAUAUGCAUUCUGCAAAGAAAGUUAGAGUUGGAGUUAGACACAAAACAUGCAAUUUAAUUCAUAAAUACAAACUUGUUUACCAUUUUCUCCCUUGCCGCCUCGCUGCAUAGCACAUCAGGGUUCACCGGAUCAGGGCCACGGUGACCACGAACGUAAACCUCCAUAAAACUUGGAGCAACUACACUUUCAGCUUCCUGCAUGAAAAAGAAGAGUUAAACCAUAGAAUUUUCAUAGAUGUAACAUACAAGUUUGAUUUACAUACUUACCAUGCGGCGUGCGGUACCAAGGUGUCCAUCGGCGCCGUACCUGUGCCCCAGUCCUUCAGUGCCACGGUUGGCACGGUGCUUCUGGGACUCUGCAAUCCACUUAGGCGACGCCCAUCUCUUAGCCAACCACCUCCAGGCUUCCAUGUCCUUCGCAAGCCAAUCCACAACGCUCUCCAGGUACUACUCCUCUGUGAGGUAGAUCUCAUUGGCCCCUUUUAUCGAUGUUUCAGACUAUUCAGGACAGACAGGAUACUCUACAGCAGCAGCUUCUGGCAGACCGCCAAGUAAGAAGUGUAGAACAAUUAGCUCAUAAGGACCGCCAUUGUAUAACCAUUCAUCAACAGAUGCAGCUUCCCAAAUUGGGUAAAAAUGCAAUCCGAUCGCCGCAGAAGUAGGAAUAAUAGCACCAGAGAUAAUAUUGUUUCCAUAAAGUAAAGAACCAGAAACAGGCUCACGAAUACCAUCAAUAUCUACUGGAGGAGCAGCGAUGAAGGCGAUAAUAUAUACGGAAGUUGUGGUCAAUAAGGUAGGGAUCAUCAAAACACCAAACCAUCCAAUGUAAAGACGGUUUUCGGUGCUAGUUAUCUAGUUGCAGAAGCGACCCCACAGGCUUGUACUUUCGCGUCUCUCUAAAAUUGCAGUCAUGGUAAGGUCUUGGUUUAUUCAAAUUGCAAGGACUGGGCUGAGAACAGGGCCUUCAUGACUCUCAUGCUUUAGCAUACCGGUGUUCCAAUUCCCCUAGUUCAAUCAGCACCGCCUCCACCUCUUCAGGCUGUUGUUGUGCCAGCCAUUCAGGCAGGACCUCCUCUUCCUACAGUUGGUCCUUCUUCCUCUCCGCUCCGACCGAUCACCCUGGUUUUCUCGUCGUCGGUCAUCAGCUUCGUCAGCACUCAACCGCCAGUGCCCCCAGCUCCUGCUGUUACCACUACUGUUGUGGCGGUAUCUGUGACCUCUUCAGCUCCGGCAGCUCCUGCAGCAUAGCCUCCGUCCGAGUCAGUACCAGCUCCAGCUUCUAUGGCAGAUCCUGGAUCUGAGACUGACUCUGACCCGUAGCUGGCAUUCGCUCUUCUGCCACGACCACGACCGGAUGCGCCCCCGCCACCUCCUUCCUCUUCUGGUGUGUAGGUUUGAGUUCCCUUUUGGUGUUUGACGCCAAAGGGGGAGAGAUAUGUGAGUUGUGAGAGCUAGGGGGAGUUAGGGAGUUAGUAGAGAGUCAUUUUGAUGUAAUAUAUGUGCUCGUUACUCUCUGUACUAGCUCCACUUUUGUAUGAUGAUUUUGGCUCACAAACUCUAUUAUAUACUCUCAAUGCUUAGGUUGACUACGUGUGCAUUAUGUUUUCACAUUAUAUGUUAUCACCAGUCUUCUAGUUCUUGUUCAUCGAUUUGAUUUCACUUUUAUAUGAACAAGAAACUUACGAUGUGUAUGCGCUCAUUCCUAUUACUAUGUUACACACUCUUUCUGUCAAAGACUAUUGAGUACAACUAACCAUCUUUUCUAUUGACAGAAAUUUCAAAAACAAACUACUCUCACAAACCUUGUAGGGUUAUCAUCAAUCACCAAAAAGAGGGAGAUUGAAAGCAUCUAGGCCCCUCACUACAGGAAACGCAUAAAUUUUCAUGGGCCAAAAACCCACGAAAAUAAGGGUAAACCGACGAAAAAAGUCUAUUUUUGUCGGCAUGCCGACGAAAAUAGCCGCCGAAAAUAAAUUCGACGAAAAUGCACAACUAGGCUUAAGCCAGCUUCGAGCUUCGGAAACCCCAUGCUUCUAGACAUCUCCCGGCAGACGGACAAUUCUUUAUUGUCUGGGAGGCAGUAUAGGAAAUCCUCUUCGUCCGUCCCAUUGAAUACUAGUGCCCCCUUCGGAUAUUUUAAUUCUUUGGCAUAGUGAUUAGCUUCAAAAACUUCUUCUUCCAAUAACUUUUUCCCUGAAGCAUGACGCACAAUAUAAUCGUAUAUUUUGGAAGAUGCUUCGGGGACAGCAGUAUCAAUUUCUUCGACCAAAAUAGGCUCUAACAUUUUUAUUUCUUUAGUCGCCUUUUCAAUUCUUGCUUCUUCUGCUUCCAAAGGUAUUACCUUGGUUGGUUCUGAAGGCUCAGUUUCAACUACAGUCUGUUGCUUUGGAGCCUUAGCAACGGAUACUUCCACAGGCGCCUCUGAAGUUUCAGCAGUCUUCUUUGGAGUUGUGCUUGGAAGUUUAAUUGUCUCCAAAACAUCCAACACAUUGACCAUUCUUUUUUCUUUUUGGGGUCACUGUUGGCCCCUUUUUUCUUGCUACUUCAAUUUCUACUGAAGGACUUAAAAUUUCUGAUAUUUUUGCUCCCUCAGUUGAUGCUUUUGCUUCUUCCAUCUUUUCUGUCGAUGGUGCUUCACCAUCUCUUUGGUUUCUGGUAACAGAAUCUUUGGUUCAUCCAAUUCCUUUGUUGUUGGCGCUUCGGCCAUUCCUGCGACUUCUGGCAGCAGGGUUGGCUCUUCAGCCUCGGUGGCCGGAGAAGUCUCUCCGGUGAAUUCAGGCACCGUGGCUGGUUCAAUAUAGCAUGGCCGAUGUGUGAGAACUUUUAUCCUCUUUCUCUUCGGUGCUGGCUCACUAGGAGCAGCUGCAGCUUUUUCUUUCGCAGAAGUUGUGCCUUUUCUUUUUUGCCCUCGUAUUGGAUAGCGAUAGUCGGGGUAGACGAACCCGAUUGCAUCAAAUACCCGGUUGAGUCUUUUCCUUUUUCGGCCUCCGAAGGCCGCUUACAAAGCAGUAUCUUCGGCCUUCGAGUAUGCCCCAAGCAAUUCAUCACUUACAGUCUCAAUGCUCUUUAACCAAUCAUCAUCUGGUUCAACGAAUUUGUCUCCAUACUUGAAUGUGUACCUUAGCCGGACUAGCCAACCUUCGUCAGUUUCUUUAAUAGUUUCUUUCGGCAUUUCCCAAUUAUCCGCAAGAGGCCACACUCUGAAGGCAAUAUGUUCUUGUGUUAAAUCCCUCGUCCCAAUAAAAGAGCAAACAACUCCGAAGGCUCUCUGGCAUUCUUCGGCUGCUUCAUUCAUUUCCACCUUCGGCCUUCGCAGGCUGAAGCGUUGCCAGAUGGGAUGCAUAAUGAUCUUCUUUACAUCUUCUCGAGAUUUCAAGUCAUUUUUCACGUAAAACCAUUCCGUCAUCCAGUCGCCAGGCCACCUCUUGCGAAAGGUCGGCACUGGGCAGCUUGACCCAGAACGAGAGCCGAAGCUAUAACAGCCAAAGUUGUUGUGAUAUUGUUCCUUACCCCAGGGUUUUGUCUCGUAUAACAAUUCGUGUAUAUUGUAGAAGCUCUUUGCAUCAGGUUCCAAGCCUUGGCUCCUCACAGCCCACACGAAAAUAUUCAUCCUUAUGAUCGCUUCGGGGAUAAGUUGGUGAAGGUGGAUUUCAAAUAUCUUCAGCACCUCCACAACAAAACGGCUCAGGGGAAAUCGUAGUCCAGCUUUCAAGAAGCUUCGAAAUACUACAACUUCAUUUUCCUCAGGAGUUGGGCAAGUCUUCUCUCCCUCGUCGGCCCUUACAAUAGACAAAUCCCGGAAAUAUCUUCCCCUCAUGUUGGCAAGAUGACUUUCUUUAAUACUUGAUUUGCCGAAAACCGCAUGGCUUCGUCGCCAAGGUCGAUCUUCGGAGUCUUCGCCACCACUAUCCGCAUCAUAGCUGUCGCUAUCACCAGUAUCUUCAGAUAAACCUUCCAAAAUUUCUUUAGUGAUCUUCUCUGUAUUAGUCUUCGACAUAGAUUGAAGAAAACCCAGAUGCAUCUCUUCAGAAAGACUCAGCUUCAUUUCGGCAACAACCUUCUUCUCCUCAGACAUCUCUUCGGAAUUCUUGCCUCUCGCUUCCGAAGCUUAAUACUAGGGAGGCAACAAAAUAUUUGUGGCCAGAAAAUUAUUUGAGCAGGCAAAACAGAUGGCAAGGGAGUGUGCCGAAUAAAUUGUGGCGAGCCCGUAUUUACAAACCCAUUAUGUCGGAGACUGGAGGGCCCCAUUUGCCAAUGACUGUUGCUAUUCUAGCAAAAGGAAGGUGUUUUUUCGGACCUUCGGCUUAUAGCCUUCGUCCAUUUCGCAAUCUGAAUUCAUCAUUCUGACAAAUUAAUAUUGCGAGGGGCUACUGUUGGGGGCCUUCGGCUUCCGAAGGUCCUCAAAAACAUGUUUUAACAAUGUUUCUGGAGUAAAGUACGUUAACAGGUACCUUCGGAUUCGGAUCAGAGCCACGGUACGAAGAAGCACAAAGGUUGGCGCAGAGCCGAAGCUGUGUGUAGAAGAGCUUCAGAGUAGCGGUGGAAAAGGAAACCGACUUAAAGAUGAAAAACCAGAUUAGACCUCGAAGAGUUAUCAUAGAGUUAUUGAUAAAUGUAAAGGGCAUUAUUGUAAUUUUCCAUGGGCUGCGACCCGUGCCUAUAAAUAGGUGAACAGUAUCCCCGUACUGUUCACGCUGAUUCGACAUUGGCUUUGGCAUCACACUUGUGCUUCUACCUUCUUUACGAGCUGAAGGUACACUUAUAAUUUAAUAUUAUCUUUAUCUUUCCAUCAUAAUAAAAUGGAAAUGAUUCGACAACAUUAAACAACUGUUUAUGUUAUCUUCAUGUUUCAUAUGAUCCUUUCUUCAUUAUUAUAUUUUAUGCUGAUGAAGGUAUGUCCUUCAUAACCUUCGCCCGAAAAUCAUUAUAUCCUUAAGGAAAUAAUGCUUAGAAGGACGAAGGAUAUUAAUAUUUAACAUUUUGUGUUGCCUUGUUCUUGAUCCAUAGCAUUUGAGAACAAGUCACCAACAAAUACAGAAUUCACAAACCACAUCCACAAUCAAUACCAUAAUUGUUUCAAACCACAAUCACAUCCAUAAUAAAGUCCAUACAUAGUCCAUAGACAAACUCACUCAUGGCAAGUCUCACUCCUGCGGGCUGUGGGAGUUUUGGCCACUCCCUCCUCCGCCACCAGGAAGGUGGCCACUCCCUCCGGAACCAUGGACGAGGUAGUCUUGGACGUUGACAGCACCCUCCGAUCCCUGAGCAUGUGACACUGAACCCUGCAAUUCAUCAAUCAUUCAAAUAAGGUUGUGUUUUGCUAUCCAUAUACCUAUACAUUGCUAUGUUUGGUCACUAUUUGCAUAAAACUAAACAUGGAACGUCACCUGUGAUCCAUUGUGCUGAGGAGGCUGUGCAUGCAUCCAUGGGUAAUGUUGUGCUGGCCACCCCUGGGGUGGUGGCACCCACCCCGGCGGUGGCGGUGCCAUCCACGCUUGAAGUGGCUGAGAGCCCGGCAGUGGCUGGGAGACCGGUGGCACCCAUCCCGGGGUUGGCUGCGAUCCCUGGGGUGGUGGAGCCGUCCAAGUGCCUGGAGGUGCCUGCGUCCACCCAACACCGGUCCACAGUGGCUGCGACGCUGGAGCUAGCUGAGAUCCCUGGAGUGGUGGCGUAAAUGGCUGCAACUCUGGAGCUUGUCCUGGCCACUGUCCCCAUCCUUGUGCCUACGAGCCAUUUUUUAUAAUAAAAAAGAGUUGCUAUGGAAUUGAAGUGUUCAGAUAGUGUUACCUGGGGAGGGCAAAAAGCGGGCAAGUUCAUAUCAGGGCCGAGUCGAGAAGUCAUUUCCUGCAAAUGGAUGAAACGUUAGAAUCGCAACAUUAUACUUUGAAUUCAAUAACACGUGAUGAGAUAGAUGAAUUACCUGAAAAUAAGAAGCCAUAUACUGCGUCAGCUGUCCGACCUGCUCCUGCGCUGCUCGAGCUUGCUGCUGUGCUGCUCGAGCCUGCUCCUGUGCUGCUUGAGUCUCCUCCUCCACCUAAGCCUCUCGAGCAGACCUAGAGGAGCGAGAACUCCCUUGACCUAUUGUCCUGUUAUACUCCACAACGCCGGUGCCAAAGGCAAACCUGCAUGAUACACAUAGUUGAGCCAUUAAGUGGACAUAUUCUUGUUAAUGAAAUUGUCGAAUCAAACACAAACACCUCACCUGCCAUGCUUUCUACCCCCACCACUAUGGUACAACGCCGAGGCAUCUAAGUCCGAAUGCAUCCAGUCGAAGUCAGGCCCAUGGCGUUGAGUCAUUUCCUCCCCAUAUGCAUUCUGCAAAGAAAGUUAGAGUUGGAGUUAGACACAAAACAUGCAAUUUAAUUCAUAAAUACAAACUUGUUUACCAUUUUCUCCCUUGCCGCCUCGCUGCAUAGCACAUCAGGGUUCACCGGAUCAGGGCCACGGUGACCACGAACGUAAACCUCCAUAAAACUUGGAGCAACUACACUUUCAGCUUCCUGCAUGAAAAAGAAGAGUUAAACCAUAGAAUUUUCAUAGAUGUAACAUACAAGUUUGAUUUACAUACUUACCAUGCGGCGUGCGGUACCAAGGUGUCCAUCGGCGCCGUACCUGUGCCCCGGUCCUUCAGUGCCACGGUUGGCACGGUGCUUCUGGGACUCUGCAAUCCACUUAGGCGACGCCCAUCUCUUAGCCAACCACCUCCAGGCUUCCAUGUCCUUCGCAAGCCAAUCCACAACGCUCUCCAGGUACUACUCCUCUGUGAGGUAGAUCUCAUUGGCCCCUUUUAUCGAUGUUUCAGACUAUUCAGGACAGACAGGAUACUCUACAGCAGCAGCUUCUGGCAGACCGCCAAGUAAGAAGUGUAGAACAAUUAGCUCAUAAGGACCGCCAUUGUAUAACCAUUCAUCAACAGAUGCAGCUUCCCAAAUUGGGUAAAAAUGCAAUCCGAUCGCCGCAGAAGUAGGAAUAAUAGCAUCAGAGAUAAUAUUGUUUCCAUAAAGUAAAGAACCAGAAACAGGCUCACGAAUACCAUCAAUAUCUACUGGAGGAGCAGCGAUGAAGGCGAUAAUAUAUACGGAAGUUGUGGUCAAUAAGGUAGGGAUCAUCAAAACACCAAACCAUCCAAUGUAAAGACGGUUUUCGGUGCUAGUUAUCCAGUUGCAGAAGCGACCCCACAGGCUUGUACUUUCGCGUCUCUCUAAAAUUGCAGUCAUGGUAAGGUCUUGGUUUAUUCAAAUUGCAAGGACUGGGCUGAGAACAGGGCCUUCAUGACUCUCAUGCUUUAGCAUACCGGUGUUCCAAUUCCCCUAGUUCAAUCAGCACC